rnacentral:tRNA from 1 species
GUCCCUAUCGUCUAGAGGCCUAGGACAUCGCCCUUUCACGGCGGUAACCGGGGUUCGAAUCCCCGUAGGGAAGCCA